UGGGGAAUAUUGCACAAUGGGCGCAAGCCUGAUGCAGCCAUGCCGCGUGUGUGAAGAAGGCCUUCGGGUUGUAAAGCACUUUCAGCGGGGAGGAAGGCGGUGAGGUUAAUAACCUCAUCGAUUGACGUUACCCGCAGAAGAAGCACCGGCUAACUCCGUGCCAGCAGCCGCGGUAAUACGGAGGGUGCAAGCGUUAAUCGGAAUUACUGGGCGUAAAGCGCACGCAGGCGAUCUGUCAAGUCGGAUGUGAAAUCCCGGGCUCAACCUGGGAACUGCAUUCGAAACUGGCAGGCUAGAGUCUUGUAGAGGGGGGUAGAAUUCCAGGUGUAGCGGUGAAAUGCGUAGAGAUCUGGAGGAAUACCGGUGGCGAAGGCGGCCCCCUGGACAAAGACUGACGCUCAGGUGCGAAAGCGUGGGGAGCAAACAGG
rnacentral:rRNA from 1 species